rnacentral:rRNA from 1 species
UGACGGAGCAACGCCGCGUGAGUGAUGAAGGUUUUCGGAUCGUAAAGCUCUGUUGUUAGGGAAGAACAAGUGCGAGAGUAACUGCUCGCACCUUGACGGUACCUAACCAGAAAGCCACGGCUAACUACGUGCCAGCAGCCGCGGUAAUACGUAGGUGGCAAGCGUUGUCCGGAAUUAUUGGGCGUAAAGGGCUCGCAGGCGGUUUCUUAAGUCUGAUGUGAAAGCCCCCGGCUCAACCGGGGAGGGUCAUUGGAAACUGGGAAACUUGAGUGCAGAAGAGGAGAGUGGAAUUCCACGUGUAGCGGUGAAAUGCGUAGAGAUGUGGAGGAACACCAGUGGCGAAGGCGACUCUCUGGUCUGUAACUGACGCUGAGGAGCGAAAGCGUGGGGAGCGAACAGGAUUAGAUACCCUGGUAGUCCACGCCGUAAACGAUGAGUGCUAAGUGUUAGGGGGUUUCCGCCCCUUAGUGCUGCAGCUAACGCAUUAAGCACUCCGCCUGGGGAGUACGGUCGCAAGACUGAAACUCAAAGGAAUUGACGGGGGCCCGCACAAGCGGUGGAGCAUGUGGUUUAAUUCGAAGCAACGCGAAGAACCUUACCAGGUCUUGACAUCCUCUGACAACCCUAGAGAUAGGGCUUUCCCUUCGGGGACAGAGUGACAGGUGGUGCAUGGUUGUCGUCAGCUCGUGUCGUGAGAUGUUGGGUUAAGUCCCGCAACGAGCGCAACCCUUGAUCUUAGUUGCCAGCAUUUAGUUGGGCACUCUAAGGUGACUGCCGGUGACAAACCGGAGGAAGGUGGGGAUGACGUCAAAUCAUCAUGCCCCUUAUGACCUGGGCUACACACGUGCUACAAUGGACAGAACAAAGGGCUGCGAGACCGCAAGGUUUAGCCAAUCCCAUAAAUCUGUUCUCAGUUCGGAUCGCAGUCUGCAACUCGACUGCGUGAAGCUGGAAUCGCUAGUAAUCGCGGAUCAGCAUGCCGCGGUGAAUACGUUCCCGGGCCUUGUACACACCGCCCGUCACACCACGAGAGUUUGCAACACCCGAAGUCGGUGAGGUAACCUUUAUGGAGCCAG